rnacentral:rRNA from 1 species
UACGUAGGGACCAAGCGUUGUUCGGAUUUACUGGGCGUAAAGGGCGCGUAGGCGGCAAUUCAAGUCACUUGUGAAAUCUCCGAGCUUAACUCGGAACGGUCAAGUGAUACUGCUUUGCUAGAGUGCAGAAGGGGCAACCGGAAUUCUUGGUGUAGCGGUGAAAUGCGUAGAUAUCAAGAGGAACACCGGGGGUGAAGACGGGUUGCUGGGCUGACACUGACGCUGAGGCGCGAAAGCUAGGGUAGCAAACGGG